rnacentral:lncRNA from 1 species
CUGUAAUUGCAGCACUCUGGAAGGCCAAGGCAGUGGGAUCACUUGGGCACAGAAGUUUGAGACCAGCCUGGGCAACAUAGUGAAACCCUGUCUCUAAAAAAAAUUUUGUUUUUAAUUAGCCAGGAAUGGUGGCGAGUGGCUGUAGUCCCAGCUACUGGGUGGGAAAUGGGGGUGGGUAGGGUGGAGAAGCUGAGGUGGGAGAAUCCCUAGAGCCCAGGAGGUAGAAGCUGAGUUAUGAUCGCACCAUUGCACUCCAGCCUGGGCAGCAGAGAAAGACCUUGCCUCAAAAAUAAGAAAAGUAAAUGAAGUUUCUUCUACUGGCUGAACAAAGUAGCUCAUGCCUGUAAUCCCAGCAUUUUGCAAGGUGGAGGCGGGAGGAUUGCUUGAGGCUAGGAAUUCAAGACCAGCCUAGGCAACAUAGUGAGACCCUGGCUCUACAAAAAAAUAAUAAAUUAAAAAAUAAAAAUAAAAAUAACCGGGCGUGGUAGUGCCUGUAGUCCCAAGUUACUCAGGAGGCUGAAGCAGAAUUGCUUGAGCUAUUAUGUGAUCACAUCACUGCGCUCCAGCCUGGGCAAGAGAGUAAGACUCUGUCUCAUAAAUAAAUUUCUACUGAAAGCCUUUUCAAAAUAGCUUCAGUGGAAUUUAUUAAAAUUUUAAGCAAAGAACAACUGUACCCAUACAAUACAUGAGAGUUUACAUUUGUAAAAUUAGUUGCUUUCCCCAAAUUCUUACGCUUAAUUUUUCCAGUGCAGAAACCUAUUUUCUGUAAAGAGACAGAUGGUAAAUAUUUCAGGCUUUGUGGCCAAUACAGUAUUUGCCACAACUACUCAACUUCACGGUUGUGGCACAAACAUAACCAUAGGUAAUAUAUUAACGGGCCGGCCUGUGUUCCAAUAAAACUUUAUUUAUGGAGAAGGAAAUGUGAAUGUGAUAUAAUUUUUCAUUUGACCUUUUUUUAAAAUCACUUAAAAAUGUAAAAGACAUUCUUAGCUCGUAGACCCUUACAAAAACAGGCAGCAGGCUAGAUAUGGCCUGGGGGGCAUAGUGAGUGGACCCCUGUUCUAGUGGAUAUCCUCUUCUCAAAACCUGAUGUUUAAAAGCAUUUUCCAGGUGUGCCGUUGGUCAAUGAUUGGGGGUAACGCUAAAAGAAAACCAGGUUAAUUUAACAAAAUACUAACAUUAGAAAAAUAGCCACAUCUGAUUACAGACUUUGUAUAAAGCCUCUAGUCUUUACUUUUGGCUAUGAGGUUUUAUGACUCCAGGCCCCACAAUACAGGCCCCUUUUUUCUCACGGUCAAACUCUACAAGACACGUGUCCGCUAUUCCCCUCUCCUGGGCUCUUCCAGGUGCACAGAGGGUGGGACUGCGUGCGGUAUCAUAUACUGGUUAGGACAGCAGCUCCGGUCUAAGGCCCUGUCAGCACUGACUAGCCACACACAGGGAGAGUCACCUAAACGUCCGAUGCCUUAGUUUCUGCCUGUAAAAUGAUAUAAGAGAGUUGAUAGAGCGGUUAAAAAAAUCAGACAAUACCAUACUAGCCUAAGCACAGCGCCUGGCACACAAAGACUCCGCAGUAAAAGGCGGCUCCUAUUAUUGGAACAAUUAGCAUAGAAACUCAACUGCCGCUCCUCCAGGUGGGCCUCAGAGGGGGUCGAACAGGACCAGACCCAGGAGGGCCCCACACCAACUUCCGGAGGGCAGGACUCUGCCUGCCAGUGAGCCCCAGAUCCAGGGACUAAGGCAGCAGGGGUGAAAGCAGGAUGGGGGCCGCCAUGACAGACGGCGGGAUCCGGCCAGCUGGCCUACGCGGUGCUUGCGAGCCUGGCGGCGCGCGCGGGCACUGGGCAUGCGCGGGGUGAGCGCGCCGCCGUCACCGCGCUCCGCUGAAUCCGCGUUUCCGGGAUUUCUCUGUAGUGACUUAGAAGCUACCCGGCGCCUCAUCUGGGCUCACCUGAGCUGAGGAUCAGGAAGGGGAGGGGGCACAGUCAUUCCCUCGCGGACGCGGCGGGACCCCAGCGGACGGCUUUGUGCGGACUUUCGGCACCGUUAUGCCCCCCUAGCCCGACACCACCUGGGGCUGGCGCGCCACGUUACUGUUCAGGGCCAGACGCACCGCCCUGCCUGCUCCGGGGAGCCGGACCUCCGAUCCCGGGGAUGGGGGACCCCGAGACCUCAGACCCAACGGAGGGGACUCUGAUACCUCAGACCCCACGCGGGGACCCCGAGGCUUCAGACCCCCACAGGGUGACCCCGAGAUCUCAGACCCCCGCAGGAGUACCUCCAGACCUCAAAUCCCCAGUAAGGGAAUGAAAGAGACUUCGGAUCCCUGAGGCAGCAAAUCCCUGUAGGGGCAUCCCAGGACUCAGGUCACCGCGGGGUGAACCCAGACCUCACAUUCAGGCAAUCCCCAGGACGCCGAUCGGCUGGCACUACCCACUGUCCCGGCCACCCCCCCUGGAGCUCAAAGGCUUGGCCCUCCAGCUGCUCCACCCUGCCGGCAACCAGGCUCAAACCUGCAGCCCGCGGAUCCCCUGCCCCGGAAGCAACCAGAUUCGCGGGAGGUUACCUGACUGAUCCAAGGCAGUUUCUCACUCCGUUGCCCAGGCUGGAAUGCAGUGGUGUAAUCACAGCUCACUGCAGCCUCAACCUACUGGACUCAAAGGAUAAGAUCUGCUUUUAAUUAAUUUUUGUAUACGGUAUGGGAUAGGGACCAAAGUUCAUUUUUUUGCAUGUAUACAUAUCCAAAUGUUCCAGCAUCAUUUAUUAAAAAGUUAUUUUUGUCUCUACUGCAUUUCCUUUGUGCUUACAUCAAAAUCUGUGUUGCAUAUGUAUGUGUUUCAUUUUAGGCUUCCUAUUGUGUUCCAUUGAGCUAUUUGUCUUUUUGCUGCCAGCACCAUGCUGUUUUGAUUAUUGUAGCUAUAUAAAUAAGUGAUGAAAUCAGAUAGUUUAUGUCCUACAACUUUAUUUUUCAAGGUUAUUUUGUAUCUUCUAGAUUCUUCAGAUUUCCUUUUAAAUCUUAGAGUCGACUUCUCAUUUUGCACAAAAAAAUACUGCUGGGAUUUUGAUUGAGAUUGUGUUGACUCUACAGAUGAAUUUGGGGAGAAUUGACAUUUUAACCAUAUUGAAUCUUCUGACCCAUUAACAUUUAGGUCUUUUAAAAUUUCUCUGGCCAGACGCAGUGGCUCACGCCUGCCACUUUGGGAGGCCAAGGCGGGCCGAUCACAAGGUCAGGAGAUUGAGACCAUCCUGGCUAACACAGUGAAACCCCAUCUCUACUAAAAAUACAAAAAAUUAGCCGGGCGUGGUGGCAUGCGCCUGUAGCCCCAGCUACUUGGAAGGCUGAGGCAGGAGAAUGGCAUGAACCCGGGAGACAGAGCUUGCAGUGAGCAGAGAUCUUGCCACUGCACUCCACCUGGGGCAACAGAGCGAGACUCCAUCUCAAAAAAAAAAAAUAUAACUGUUGUUAGAUUUUAACCUAAGUAUUUGUUUUUUUAUUUUGUUUUUCUUUUUUUCUUCUUUUUUUUUUUUUUUUUUUUUUGAGACAGGAUCUCACUCUGUCUCCCAGGCUGAAGUGCAAUGGUGUGAUCAUGGCUCAUCUUGAAGCCUCGACCCUCCUGGGAUCAAGCUAUCCUCCCACCUCAACCUCCUGAGUAGCUGGGACUACAAGUACACAUGACCAUGCCCAAUUCAUUUUUUAAAUUCUUUGUAGAGGCGGAGUCCCACUAUGUUGCCCAGGCUGGUCUUGAACUCCUGGGCUCAAGCAAUCCUCCCACCUCAGCUUCCCAAAGUGUAGGGAUUACAGGCAUGAGCCACUGUGCAAGGUCUUGUGUUUUUUGAUAAUAUCGUAAAUGGUGAUUUUUUCAUUUGUUUCUGAUUGUUGCUAAUAUAUGGAAAUAUAGUUGAUAUCUGCAAUUGAUCUCAUGUCCUGAAAACUUGCUAAAUCUGCUUAAUAAUUUUUUGUACAUUCAAAAUGAUGUUCUACAGGUAGUCGUAUUGUCUAUGUUGGAAGGAAAGCUUUUCCUCAUUCAAUGUCGGUCCUGUGUUUGAAGACCUGCAAAUUAACUGAUAACAACAGGUUAACAGGAGAAAAGACAAGGUUUAGAGUAACUCACUAAAUAGAAAUAAAGGUUUAUAGAUCCACUUAACAAAAUGUGUUGGG